CUACGGGCUGCAGCAGUGGGGAAUAUUGCACAAUGGGCGCAAGCCUGAUGCAGCCAUGCCGCGUGUAUGAAGAAGGCCUUCGGGUUGUAAAGUACUUUCAGCGGGGAGGAAGGGAGUAAAGUUAAUACCUUUGCUCAUUGACAUUACCCGCAGAAGAAGCACCGGCUAACUCCGUGCCAGCAGCCGCGGUAAUACGGAGGGUGCAAGCGUUAAUCGGAAUUACUGGGCGUAAAGCGCACGCAGGCGGUUUGUUAAGUCAGAUGUGAAAUCCCCGGGCUCAACCUGGGAACUGCAUCUGAUACUGGCAAGCCUGAGUCUCGUAGAGGGGGGUAGAAUUCCAGGUGUAGCGGUGAAAUGCGUAGAGAUCUGGAGGAAUACCGGUGGCGAAGGCGGCCCCCUGGACGAAGACUGACGCUCAGGUGCGAAAGCGUGGGGAGCAAACAGGAUUAGAUACCCUCGUAGUC
rnacentral:rRNA from 1 species